rnacentral:lncRNA from 1 species
UCCCAUUUUAUCUAAUGGAUAAAUUGAUGCAACUGUUUGGUUAUCGUGGAAGUGAGAUACCACAAGUGAAAGUCUGUGAUUGCUGCUAAAAGGAUGAACAAGUUGUACCACGAUCCCUGCAUCAACAAGUUACAAAAGGGAAGCAAAAACAAGUCAACUUUUUUGUGUACGUCGGGCAAGAGAUCGAAAUUUCAGUUUUACGAUAUCAACCACGGAAUAAAAUGGAUAACGACUUCAAAUAGCGUUUUGUCAACCUUACUUCUCACCCUGCAGUCCUUAUAUAAAGGGUGCACUUCCAUAUUUGUAAGGUACAAGCUAAUUAAAAGAUGGCAUCAUGAUUUAAAUACUUGUUUUAUAUAUUAUAAUAACAGCUUUUCCCCCAAAACUUGUGUCAAUAUAAUUGAAAAAUACAUUGGUGGAUUCCUAGCAGAAGCAAAGAAAAAAAAAUCACCAGGAGAUGUUUUCUCAACUUACUUAAGCCUGGGAGGCAAGAGUUACUUGGUACAUGUGUUGGUGGAAGUUAGCAAGUAGCCAGCUAGGUGCAUACAAGCUGGCCAGACACCAUGUGAAGGUACCAGACAAUGGUAACAUAAUAUACUAACCAGUUCAGAUACAUAUCCACUGGUCCUUUCACCUUGAGGCUCAUAAUUUUGAGCUUCACUUCAGCUCACUCUUUUGAUCCUUCGGUUUUUCAUUUUUAUCUGGAUGC